rnacentral:rRNA from 1 species
AACGAACGCUGGCAGCAUGCCUAACACAUGCAAGUCGAACGAGACCUUCGGGUCUAGUGGCGCACGGGUGCGUAACGCGUGGGAACCUGCCCUUAGGUUCGGAAUAACUCCCCGAAAGGGGUGCUAAUACCGGAUAAUGUCUUCGGACCAAAGAUUUAUCGCCUUUGGAUGGGCCCGCGUUGGAUUAGCUAGUUGGUAGGGUAAAAGCCUACCAAGGCGACGAUCCAUAGCUGGUCUGAGAGGAUGAUCAGCCACACUGGGACUGAGACACGGCCCAGACUCCUACGGGAGGCAGCAGUGGGGAAUAUUGGACAAUGGGCGAAAGCCUGAUCCAGCAAUGCCGCGUGAGUGAUGAAGGCCUUAGGGUUGUAAAGCUUUUUUACCCGGGAUGAUAAUGACAGUACCGGGAGAAUAAGCUCCGGCUAACUCCGUG